GACGAACGCUGGCGGCGUGCUUAACACAUGCAAGUCGAACGGAAAGGCCCUGCUUUUGUGGGGUGCUCGAGUGGCGAACGGGUGAGUAACACGUGAGUAACCUGCCCUUGACUUUGGGAUAACUUCAGGAAACUGGGGCUAAUACCGGCUAGGAGCUCCUGCUGCAUGGUGGGGGUUGGAAAGUUUCGGCGGUUGGGGAUGGACUGGGGGCUUAUCAGCUUGUUGGUGGGGUAGUGGCUUACCAAGGCUUUGACGGGUAGCCGGCCUGGGAGGGUGACCGGCCACAUUGGGACUGAGAGACGGCCCAGACUCCUACGGGAGGCAGCAGUGGGGAAUAUUGCACAAUGGGCGGAAGCCUGAUGCAGCAACGCCGCGUGCGGGAUGACGGCCUUCGGGUUGUAAACCGCUUUCGCCUGUGACGAAGCGUGAGUGACGGUAAUGGGUAAAGAAGCACCGGCUAACUACGUG
rnacentral:rRNA from 1 species